UGCCAGCAGCCGCGGUAACACGAACCGGGCAAACGUUAUCCGGAUUUAUUGGGUUUAAAGGGUGCGCAGGCGGAACUUUAAGUCAGUGGUGAAAUCUUGCCGCUUAACGGUAAAAUUGCCAUUGAUACUGAAGUUCUUGAAUGUAGUUGAGGUAGGCGGAAUGUGUUGUGUAGCGGUGAAAUGCAUAGAUAUGACACAGAACGCCAAUUGCGAAGGCAGCUUACUAAGCUACGAUUGACGCUGAGACACGAAAGCGUGGGGAGCGUACAGGAUUAGAUA
rnacentral:rRNA from 1 species